AUGCUGCAUGCGAGAUGCGGGAUGCUGGGCACUGGAGGCCCGGGACGCGGGUCCGAGAGCGCGGAAGGGGCGGGGCUGGGCAGCCUAAGAGGCCGCGGUCGCUCCGGACCGCCCUGCCCCAUGUUCCUCCCCGCGUCCCUCCGGCUCCUGGCGCUUCGUAGAGCCCAAAGGCUGAGAGGGGUUAGAGGCGCCGAUCACACCCUAGAAGUCGUUUAUGUCGAGCUGUGGAUGUUACAAGCGUUAUUUGGCCAGGACAGCGAGAUGCUGGCGGCCUUCUACGGGUGGUUCAGGGUCUCCCUCGUGGUCAGCGCAGUCCCAGGAUGCGGAGUCCUGGUCUUCAUCAUCGGAUCGCCCCUUUACCAGUAUGUGACCAAGUUCCUCAUCGUGGCAAUAUGUUUCCAGCUUCGGGUCCGCCGAAAUCGAGUGUUCUUUCCAGGUUAUGAUGGAGAAAAGAAAAUUUCUGGGAGUCCCCCCCCCCCCCCCUACAACUCCCACUCUGGAUGGAGCUCUCCUUUUCUGCCUGGGUCCCUACCAGGAAGAGUGGGGAACUCCAAGGAGGGAGGUGCCUGUUGUGGGGGUGCUGCUGAGCAACCCAGGCAGCAGCUGCUUGUUCCCUCUGGUCCUGCUUGCUGACUUCCCAGCUGUACCACUCACCCCAGCUAUGCGACUUCCAUCUCAUGAGGGACAGCUACGUGGCCCACCUGAUCUAAUGACCUGGUGGGUCUGAGAGGACCCAGCUCCUGGAUUCUGGGUGUGCUGCAUGGUCACAUGGUACCUGCGGGGAGCGAGCUCCGCCCGAGGCAAAGGUCAUGAGGAAGGAGGCUCGGCAUACGCAAAGGCGGGAUGGAGCCUCAGGAGUCCCCCUGGAAAUUCUUGAGCAUCUACCCCCAAAACCAGAGUCUGCCUACUUUCUGCUUUGUGCUUUCACCUACACCUCUGACUUUACGGGGUGCUGUCCCCCAAUACCUCUCUCUGAAAAAAGAGUUAGCUUACAGCUCCAGUUAAUAAUUCCUGGGUGUGACAGUGUUUAACCUACAAACUCCUUUGGAAAUCCUCUAGCCUGCCUGAAUAGGUUUUUCCGGCCACAUGUGAUCGUUCAGAGCCUCCCAACUGUGAGAGGCAGGAGAUGUUCUAAACUGUCUAAAUACAGAUUCCUUUGAGCAGUUAAAAGAUUGAUUAGAAAUUGUAUUGGUGAAGGGUUUUUCACUUAUUGAGCCAAUGUUUGCUGCUAAGUCUCCAUACCCCUUACCUACUGUGUCCUUGGCAGUGUAUUGAUUGAUAUAAUGGGUGUAUAGAAAUGUAAGUAGUAGCCUCAAUGUUUGUAACCUUGGACCCUUGAGUUAAUUCUUUUCUUGAUUGAGCCCACCUCACCUUUGCCCUAUAGGAAUGCAGCUUUGUCCAGUGCUUUUUUGGAGGCUGGUGCCUGACUUUGGAAUAAUCACCUUUAGAGAAAUAUAAGUUUCUUAAAAUGUUAACAGGCCUCCUGGCCAGAAGAUGAUGUAAAUCACCUGAACUUUUGCAUAUGAUAAGUUUGAAAGCCUGGCUUCGAUUAGAACCAGGAACUGCUGUCCUUGCAUGACUCCACCCCUUCCCCCAUUAUCCUCUAUGCACAAUUUAAGGUAUAAAAACUACUUUGGAAAAUAAAGUGCGGGCCUUGUUCA
ensembl:lncRNA